GACGAACGCUGGCGGCGUGCUUAACACAUGCAAGUCGAACGGAAAGGCCCUGCUUUUGUGGGGUGCUCGAGUGGCGAACGGGUGAGUAACACGUGAGUAACCUGCCCUUGACUUUGGGAUAACUUCAGGAAACUGGGGCUAAUACCGGAUAGGAGCUCCUGCUGCAUGGUGGGGGUUGGAAAGUUUCGGCGGUUGGGGAUGGACUCGCGGCUUAUCAGCUUGUUGGUGGGGUAGUGGCUUACCAAGGCUUUGACGGGUAGCCGGCCUGGGCGGGUGACCGGCCACAUUGGGACUGAGAUACGGCCCAGACUCCUACGGGAGGCAGCAGUGGGGAAUAUUGCACAAUGGGCGGAAGCCUGAUGCAGCAACGCCGCGUGCGGGAUGACGGCCUUCGGGUUGUAAACCGCUUUCGCCUGUGACGAAGCGUGAGUGACGGUAAUGGGUAAAGAAGCACCGGCUAACUACGUG
rnacentral:rRNA from 1 species